GCUGGCGGCGUGCCUAAUACAUGCAAGUCGAGCGAACAGAUGAGAAGCUUGCUUCUCUGAUGUUAGCGGCGGACGGGUGAGUAACACGUGGGUAACCUACCUAUAAGACUGGGAUAACUCCGGGAAACCGGGGCUAAUACCGGAUAAUAUUUUGAACCGCAUGGUUCAAUAGUGAAAGACGGUUUCGGCUGUCACUUAUAGAUGGACCCGCGCCGUAUUAGCUAGUUGGUAAGGUAACGGCUUACCAAGGCGACGAUACGUAGCCGACCUGAGAGGGUGAUCGGCCACACUGGAACUGAGACACGGUCCNNACUCCUGCGGGAGGCAGCAGUAGGGAAUCUUCCGCAAUGGGCGAAAGCCUGACGGAGCAACGCCGCGUGAGUGAUGAAGGUCUUCGGAUCGUAAAACUCUGUUGUUAGGGAAGAACAAAUUUGUUAGUAAC
rnacentral:rRNA from 2 species